rnacentral:piRNA from 1 species
UAACAGGGACCUCAGAGAAAACAAGGGA